AAACAGCUUUGGGACAGAAAGCCCCCUUCAUACAUGGCGAGAACACAAGACCCCACACACAAACCCAAAAGUUUGUGUUUGUCAUGUGGCUGGGAGACCCAUUGAUGAGUCUCAAGCCACCUUUGUGUCUGUGCAGGUGAACUACCUUAACAAGUCUCUGGACACCUUCAACACCCUGCUGGUAUAUCCUAUCUACUAUGUCCUCUUCACCUCUGUGGUCCUUUCCACCUCCAUCAUCCUCUUCCAGGAGUGGAGCAGCAUGUCUGCCGUGGAUGUGGUCACAACGCUGGGCUCGUUCCUGGUCAUCGUGGUGGGUGUGGCCUUGCUGCACCUGUUCAGGGAGCUGCAGAUUACAAUGAAGCAACUGACCAAUCAGCUUUCUCAGCCAGUGGAGAGGGAGGGACUUACAGAAGAGGUCACAACCAAUGGAAGAGGAGGAAGGAAUAAAAAGGAGGAUAAAUAUGGACUGAUGGACAAUGUAGUGAUAGAAAGUCUGCCUCCUAUGAGAGAGGAAGGACCCAGAGUCUUCAUAAUCAGCUGAAAAAGAGAAUUCCAGAAGUUUCUGCACUGUUACUUGAUAUUUCCUGCACUUUUUCAAACUUUUGCUGCCGUCUUAGUUUAUGCUAUAGGUCCCUCCAAUCUCGCAUCAUGGUAUUUAACGGUACAGUACUAGUCGACCUUUUUAAUUUGUAAAUAUUUAAGAAAUCUUGCCUGUAAAUACCAAUUUAGUAGAAGGUUCAAAUAAUUUAUUGGAAAUAAGUACUUUAGAGCCCACACAAAAUAUGCCGUCAAAGAAAUAAUAAAUAAUAAUAAAUAAGACAAGUCGACAGAAAACAAGAAAAUCCCAAAAAUUGAUCAAAGUUUACCAUCAAACUGGUUAGUUAAAUAAUAUCAAACUGCUCCUCAUAGCUGUCAUUAACCUGGAGCAUUUUAAAGAUUUUAUUCUUUUUGAUCAUACGAGUCGACAACAUUAAAUUAUCAGAUGAGUUAGUGUCUUCUGUUAUGGACUCCAAAUUGGCUCUGCCUCUUCUUUCACAGGCGGUUUGGCUGGAAAGAGUUUUUCCAUGAUGUCUCAGGCUGUUCAUAAAUCACCAGUUGGACCCAAGAAGAGUCCCAAGAAGAUGUUAAUUGAAAAGACCAUCAUGGCACCAAAGAAGGUUUUUUGCAGUUGACCUUUUACCCCUAAUACUUUUUUCAAAGUUUUUGUGCUACUAGUGGCCUUUAUUAAACAGUAGAAAGGAAGAAAGGCAGAGAGACUAAAUAAAUUAUAAAGUCAAAUAUAAUUAAAUAUUGCUUUAAAAUGGUGAUUAUCUACAUUUCCAACAUGUACACUUGAUGUGACAACUUGUCAUAGGAGGAGGCUCACAUUUUCAUUUUGGCUGUUUUAAACAGACAUAGUGUCCUAAUUUAUUCAUCAUAAGAAAGAUGGUAUUAGUUUAAUAGGAAGCAUUUUUAAUCACUUAAUCACCAUUUUUCAAGGGUGUCAUUUAUUUGGGUGUUGUGUCACGCUCUGUGUGGCCUGAUUGUUGGAAACAAGGAAAACAAAAUAAGAUUUUGGCUGUUAUGCAGGGCACUGUGCUGCUUUCAAAAUGAACAGCUUAACUUUUGUUUUGGAACUGGACUGGUUAGAAGACUCUUCACUUUUGGUAUGAUUACCUACCAUUGCAAAUAUUAGCUCUGAGGCACUACCUUGCUUAGCAACUCUGAGGUCUAUUAAGUGUGGGUCUGCUUUCUCUGCUGGGCUGCUGUUUUUUGAAAUCCCUUCAAAAAAACUCAGCUUCUGCUUGAAGUGUUUGGUGACUGAAACUAGUUUCUUUCAGAUAAAGUUGUAGACAUUCAUUAAUGUUUUAUUUUACGUGUUAAAAUUACAAUUGAGGUACUAAUUAAAACAGAUAUCUCACAAAUGAGGUUAGAAAUGGGUCAAGAGACAUUUUCUUCUAAGUUAUUGUUCCAGUUGUCUGAGAUUCAGUAUCGUUAAGAGCCCUUCAUGACAACUGCUUCUUAGUAGAGGAACAUAGACAUUAGGCCUGCAACUAAGAAUUAAAUUGAUUCAUCUUAUCAAAUUUUUUCUAACAAUUGAUUAGUCAGCAAAAAAAUUUACUUCCACUUCGGAACUGCUAAACAGGAACAAAAGUUGAGGGUUUGAAGAAGUUUAACCAUUUUCUUCCAAAAGUAAUCCUCCAUUUCACUUUGUUUUCAGAAAUGGGUGAAACCACACCCCCACUGAUUUGUGUAAAUGGAGGAUAGUUUCUAUGUGCUGAAUUAUCUUUUGCUUUGAAAAGGUGGAUGAAUUUAAUUACACAAUAUGUGAUCAAUCUGAAUAUUAUAUGAAAAUGCAAUAUUUACAUUUUGAAAAAUAUAUUUAGUAUACCGAACUAUCAAAUAAUCGUGACAGUUAAGGAAGCUUUUUGGUUUUCAAAAUGAGACUCGACACCUCACCUUUGUGCAGAUUCUCUUACUGAAACAACUCAGAAGAAUUUAUAUCAAGACGAUCAGCAGUUGAUUUGAAUGAAGCUUAUUUCAUGAAAACUUAUAUAUUGUUUAUAUAUUUUUGUGGUUUAGCUUUAUCUAAAGUUGUAAAUCCAUAGUAUUAGGGCAGGGAGAAAUGCCUAUUUAUUUUGACCUUUGACUUUCAGUUGACAGAAUUAUUCUUUACAUGAAAGACUACAGUAUAUCUUAAAAAGGAUACAAUACAUUUCAAAAGAAUUCAUAAACAACUGAAGCUUUAAACACAAUCCAAUUUAACACCUCUGACAUUUUUACUUGUUAAAAUUGUCAUUAAGAGUUUGUUUUAAUUUGAAUUAAUUUAGUCUAUUUACUGAUUUAAAAGUGUGCUGUUGUCACAUCUGGGCCUCAUCAGGUUGAUCAAUUGUGAUCCCCCUUUGUGUUGCUGUCAUCAGACUGUGGCAUGGAGAAACACAUUACUGAUAAUGAAAUGUUUUUUGUCCUGAUGUCUCACUCUCCUCUGAGCUGAAGACUGGAGUAAUGAAGCAGACAAAACUCAGGGUGAGCUUGACCUUGGUAGGCAGGUCAAAAACAGUAGAUCAAGAUGUUGAAAGUGAGCGUUUGCUGCUGAACACAUUUAAGUUUGUGAAGCUUAGAGAAACCAAAGAACAAAUAAAAUUUUUGUUUCAGAAUUCACCUGA